rnacentral:rRNA from 1 species
GCUUACCAUGCAGUCGAACGAUGAACCGCUUUCGGGCGGGGAUUAGUGGCGAACGGGUGAGUAACACGUGGGCAAUCUGCCCUGCACUCUGGGACAAGCCCUGGAAACGGGGUCUAAUACCGGAUAUGACCGUCUGCCGCAUGGUGGAUGGUGUAAAGCUCCGGCGGUGCAGGAUGAGCCCGCGGCCUAUCAGCUUGUUGGUGAGGUAGUGGCUCACCAAGGCGACGACGGGUAGCCGGCCUGAGAGGGCGACCGGCCACACUGGGACUGAGACACGGCCCAGACUCCUACGGGAGGCAGCAGUGGGGAAUAUUGCACAAUGGGCGAAAGCCUGAUGCAGCGACGCCGCGUGAGGGAUGACGGCCUUCGGGUUGUAAACCUCUUUCAGCAGGGAAGAAGCGAAAGUGACGGUACCUGCAGAAGAAGCGCCGGCUAACUACGUGCCAGCAGCCGCGGUAAUACGUAGGGCGCAAGCGUUGUCCGGAAUUAUUGGGCGUAAAGAGCUCGUAGGCGGCUUGUCACGUCGGUUGUGAAAGCCCGGGGCUUAACCCCGGGUCUGCAGUCGAUACGGGCAGGCUAGAGUUCGGUAGGGGAGAUCGGAAUUCCUGGUGUAGCGGUGAAAUGCGCAGAUAUCAGGAGGAACACCGGUGGCGAAGGCGGAUCUCUGGGCCGAUACUGACGCUGAGGAGCGAAAGCGUGGGGAGCGAACAGGAUUAGAUACCCUGGUAGUCCACGCCGUAAACGGUGGGCACUAGGUGUGGGCAACAUUCCACGUUGUCCGUGCCGCAGCUAACGCAUUAAGUG